CCACACAGCUGACUUCACGGGCCAUCCCGCAGUUUUUCUCUUCUCAGGCUGAAGCACCAGUCUCUGAGCUGAGGUCAGGCCCUGUUCUGGAACUGGGUCACACAGUGUGCCCUCCUGCCCUAGCCAACAUCCUUGAUGGGCAAUCUGACUCACUGGAUAUUCCAUCAGACACAGGCUCCUCAGGCCCUUGAAAGCUGCCACCGUGAGAGAUUUCUGGCCUGGCUGGUGAGGUGGCCCCCAGUGUGCUGUUAGCGGUUUUGAUGCACUGGACCUUCAAACACAGUGGUGACCCAGCCCCGACAACAGCUCUCCACUCAGGAUGGGGCCCAGAUGUGGAGUGUCAUGCUACCAAAUACCUGCCUGUGUGGGGCCACAUAGACAGCUGCAGCAGUCACCCUAGCCCUCCUGCAGCAGGAAGAAUGCUUGGCUUGUGCAAGAAGCUCCAUCAAGGUGUUUUCCAAAUCUCUUGCCCUGAUCCAUGCCUAUACUCAGGAGAGAAAGAGGGACCAUGCCCAGAGAUCAACCAAGACAGCGUGUGCACGUGCACUGUGCACACACCCAAGGGCCCACAGCCUGCAUAG
rnacentral:lncRNA from 1 species